rnacentral:rRNA from 1 species
UACGUAGGCAGCGAGCGUUGUUCGGAAUUACUGGGCGUAAAGAGUGUGUAGGCGGUGCUCUAAGUUUGGUGUGAAAUCUCCCGGCUCAACUGGGAGGGUGCGCCGAAAACUGGAAUGCUUGAACGUGGGAGAGGAAAGCGGAAUUCCCGGUGUAGCGGUGAAAUGCGCAGAUAUCGGGAAGAACACCCGUGGCGAAGGCGGCUCUCUGGGACGGUACUGACGCUGAGACGCGAAAGCGUGGGGAGCGAACAGG